rnacentral:rRNA from 1 species
CAACCCUUGUCAUUAGUUGCCAGUCAUUUGGUUGGGCACUCUAAUGAGACUGCCGGUGACAAACCGGAGGAAAGGUGGGGAUGACGUCAAGUCCUCAUGGCCCUUAUGGGUAGGGCUUCACACGUCAUACAAUGGUCGGUACAGAGGGUUGCCAACCCGCGAGGGGGAGCUAAUCCCACAAAGCCGAUCGUAGUCCGGAUCGCAGUCUGCAACUCGACUGCGUGAAGUCGGAAUCGCUAGUAAUCGCGGAUCAGUAUGCCGCGGUGAAUACGUUCCCGGGCCUU